GAUGAACGCUAGCGGCAGGCCUAAUACAUGCAAGCCGGACGGCAAGUUGAGUAGCAAUACUUGACCUAGAGUGGCGUAAGGGUGCGUAACACGUAUGCAAUCUGCCCACAGCCGGGAGAUAGCCCUCCGAAAGGAGGAUUAAUAUCCCAUAGGAAGAUGAGAUGGCAUCAUUUUAUUUUUAAACUACGGGGCUGUGGCUGAGCAUGCGGUUGAUUAGCUAGUUGGCGGGGUAAAGGCCCACAAGGCGAUGAUCAAUAGGGGACCUGAGAGGGUGAUCCCCCAACUGGCACUGAGAUACGGGCCAGACUCCUACGGGAGCAGCAGUAGGGAAU
rnacentral:rRNA from 1 species